rnacentral:rRNA from 1 species
GUACACUCCUGCGGGAGGCAGCAGUGGGGAAUUUUGGACAAUGGGCGAAAGCCUGAUCCAGCAAUGCCGCGUGAGUGAAGAAGGCCUUCGGGUUGUAAAGCUCUUUUGUCAGGGAAGAAACGGUGAAAGCUAAUAUCUUUUGCUAAUGACGGUACCUGAAGAAUAAGCACCGGCUAACUACGUGCCAGCAGCCGCGGUAAUACGUAGGGUGCAAGCGUUAAUCGGAAUUACUGGGCGUAAAGCGUGCGCAGGCGGUUUUGUAAGUCUGAUGUGAAAUCCCCGGGCUCAACCUGGGAAUUGCAUUGGAGACUGCAAGGCUAGAAUCUGGCAGAGGGGGGUAGAAUUCCACGUGUAGUAGUGAAAUGCGUAGAUAUGUGGAGGAACACCGAUGGCGAAGGCAGCCCCCUGGGUCAAGAUUGACGCUCAUGCACGAAAGCGUGGGGAGCAAACAGGAUUAGAAACCCCGGUAGUCCCAUG